UAAUUAUAGCAAGUAGAAUAUGAGCAAAACCAGCGCUGGACGACAGGGGAGUCUGCGCUCCGCCAACUGCCGUGCUGAGCAGUUCAAACAGUCCCUUUUUAUACAUCUUUACUUCCGUGUUCAUGAAGUAGUGGAGGUACUCUGCGCAUGCUUCAGUUGUUGUUAGGGGGUCGUUUUCUGCCUCCUGGUGGUCGUUGAGGCCGAAGUAAGAAGUCUUCCUCCUUUGUCCCAUAGUUGACCCCUCAUUCAUAUGUCCUUAUAUGGGGUUGUUUGUCCUGUUUCUGUCGGUUCCUGGAAGUCUGGCGGUUAUCUCGCGAUUGUGGUUAUCUUAUCUUAUGCAAGCAGUGUCUGGUAGCUGUUUGCAUAAGUGAUUUCACAUCUUUUGUUGCCUAACCUUUACAUUGAGCUUAACAUAAAUCUUAAUAAACAAUAUCCUAGUCCAUAGUUUCUCACAAUCCCCCCUUUUUCUUUUUAUCCUAUUAUUGUUUAUUAGACGCUACUUUCAUUUUCGGCACUGCGAACAAACCUUUUUCCACAAUCCCAACAUUUAUCAUAACACUCACAAGGUAAUACCUCACAAUUACAAAAGGCAUAGUUCUCACGUGGCAUAACGCAUUCACAACAAUCUUCAUCCUCAUUAAUAGAUACACUCUUAUAUUUUGCCCCAGACCUCGUAGUUAAAAUGAGCAGUUUAGCUAUGUCAAACCGUUCCUUAAUAAAGUGUAAAAUAUAGCGUAAUAUACAAGGCCCAAAUAUGAGUCCCAAAAUCAACAUGAUAAGCGGUCCUGCUAAGGCGGACAACAAAGUGGUUAGUCAAGGUGAAACAUUAAACCAGUUUUCAUACCAUGAUCUGCCCGCCUCACGAUCUUUCUUACGUUGAUCUAACCUUUUCCGGAGUUCAGACAUGGUGUCCUGGACUACUCCCGUAUGGUCAGCAAAAGAGCAACAUUCUUCAUUGAGAGCUACACAUAACCCUCCUUCCUUUAAAAACAAUAGAUCUAAUCCUCUUCUAUUUUGCAGUACUACUUCUGAUAAAGACUUUACUGAAGUGGCUAAAUUUUGGAUAGAUUGUUCUAUUUUUGCUAAAUCUUCAUCUACAGCCAUCUGCAAACUUUGUAACUCCUGACCUUUUACUAGGGAGGCUAUGCCUGUACCUGCUCCAACUCUGCCCGCUAUCAGCAGGGUAGCUAGGGUUACUACUGUAAUUGGCUCUCGUUUUUGCCUAUUCAGGUCUCCUUCAAAGUGGCGUAACACCUCCUCAGAGGUGUGAUAGAUCAGACGAGGAACAAUAAUCACCUGUACGCAAAACUGAGAUUGAUCAAACACGUUUAGGGAUAGGCAAGGCGUUACUCCGAUGUCUGAACAAACCCAUUUAGCUCCUGGUGUCAGGAUAGCCCAUUUGUCAUUUUGAUUCUUGUGUUUCUCUAUAUUGGUGUUAGUGACUGUUUUAUUGCACAAAGGCUGAUAUUUUUCGGGCACUGUACCUAUACAUUUUCCUUGACCUGUUACUAAUUGAAUAGUAAUUCCUUGCGUAUGGUUCCUCUGGUCAUCCCAUGGGCAUUCUCGUGGGUUUGAACCAUUAGACCAUUGAAUCCUACCUGGUUUUCCAAUUGCCUCAAAAUAUGGUGGUCUAACAUUAUAACAUAACAAACAUUCUUCAGUUAAAUUUGGUUUGCUUUCAUUAAGGGCACGAUAAGAGGCUUGCAUUAGAUUCCAUAAGGGGUCUUUGGAUUCUGACAACUCUAGAUCCCUGGAUGAGGAGAAUUCAGUCACAGUGUCAUUAGUUGUUCCCUGGUUGCUGGUCUUUUUUAAUCACGUAGUCUUGACUGAUAAGUGCUUGGUUGGGGCCUACCGGCAGUGGAUCAUUCGGGACAACCUCCUUUUUUAUGAGGAUUAAGCCACCCCGGUCUGUACCUGGUGCUGUGUACCUUAUUCCCCAAAUCUUUCCAAGUAACCAGCUAUUCUCUUGGGCCUCAGUAACAUUUAAGAAGAGGUAUCGACAAUUUCCACGUCCUUGCCAUCCUUGCGGUGGAGUACACCCAUAUGGACCCCAUUGGACUUUUAAGUAUCUGUCUCUACCACUACCCGGUAUCCAAGCAGGGGCUAUGGUCUCACAUCCCCAAUAACUACAAUAAUAUUGGUUAGGGAGGUUACAAUAUCCCUUAUUAGGAUUUGAGCUGGGACACAUAUAAAAUCCUAGAUAUUCCCAGCACCGGUCUCUCGGGACCAGCUGACACAGAGAGGCAUUAAAACUUGGCGCUCCUGAUGUUAUUUGAGUUGCAAUAACUUGUUGAUCCUCAAAUCGAAAGAGGGACCAUUUAAAUGGUUGGUGGGGGUGGCUUUCUGAUUCUGCCUGUCCUAUGAUGACAAGCCCUAAAAUCAAGAUCACACAAAGGCAUCGUAGCCCCUUCCCAUGGGGGCUAUGUUGUCGUUGUUUGGGUUCCACUGGCACAACUAACGGUAUACCAGGAAAAAGGGUGUCUGUCAAUUUUGCCAAUUUAAAUAUAUUUUUACCAGUCCUGGGGAAGUUCGGCCAUUGCUGCUUUUGCAAAUUGUCAUAAAUUGUGACCACAACGGAUCAUAAUCCAAUUAAAAUUUUAUUAAUUAUAGCAAGU
rnacentral:lncRNA from 1 species